AUCUUCAGGGCAGGGUGAGUAUAAAACAAUUCCCGACCGGUGGUAAAGUCCACGAGAACCUUUCAGGUUUUGAAUUGGUGAAAUUCCAAUACCGACAGUAUAGUCUGGAUGAAAGAAG
rnacentral:ncRNA from 1 species